rnacentral:rRNA from 1 species
CCUACGGGGGCUGCAGUGGGGAAUAUUGGACAAUGGGCGAAAGCCUGAUCCAGCCAUGCCGCGUGUGUGAAGAAGGCCUUCGGGUUGUAAAGCACUUUCAGUGGGGAAGAAAGCCUUGGGGCUAAUACCCUCGAGGAAGGACAUCACCCACAGAAGAAGCACCGGCUAACUCCGUGCCAGCAGCCGCGGUAAUACGGAGGGUGCGAGCGUUAAUCGGAAUUACUGGGCGUAAAGCGCGCGUAGGCGGUCUGAUAAGCCGGUUGUGAAAGCCCCGGGCUCAACCUGGGAACGGCAUCCGGAACUGUCAGGCUAGAGUGCAGGAGAGGAAGGUAGAAUUCCCGGUGUAGCGGUGAAAUGCGUAGAGAUCGGGAGGAAUACCAGUGGCGAAGGCGGUCUUCUGGACUGACACUGACGCUGAGGUGCGAAAGCGUGGGUAGCAAACAGGAUUAGAUACCCUUGUAGUC